UAAAAUUUUUGUGCUAAAGACUCAGAUGAUCAUGAAAUAAGUUCCUGUACCUUUAAAGUUCUGUGUCGAGUUAGGCGCAAUUCUAAUUUACAAAGAGUGAUGACGUCAUCGUGUUUCUGCACGGAGUGCGCCUGCGCAGGAAGUUAUUUUUGAACGGGCGGAUCCUACCUGUGAAGUCAUCAUGGCUCCCACUGACGCCGAAAUUCGGAGCCAAACGGAUCAGAUCGUUUUUUAUCUGUUUGCCGGCAAAGAUGAAGUUAGAACGCGGAUGUGUGCGAACGAAAUUGAGCCCGACGGUCCACAAGAUGAUUUUGAUCCAGUUUUGGUAGCAGAAAAACUCCGGGUUAUAGGCGAUGCCCUCAACGAUGAAGCCCGUUUCAGAGCCGUUUUCUCUGAGCUGCAGAAAGCAGCAGCCAAAGAGACCCUAGAAGCAGCGUUCAGCCACAGUGUGGAGGCGCUGUGUGAGACUCACAGCGCCACAGCGGCUGAAGUGGCUCCAGAGCUCCAGCUGAUCAAGGCCUCAGUGGCUUUUGGGGUCUAUGUUGCACAAAGAGCUCCAGAACUAAAGAGUAAAGUCCAAAAUGCCCUGUCUUCUUUCCUCACCAACCGGGUUGGUGGAUGGGUCGCUCAGCAAGGUGGAUGGGUAAGUCAUGUUUAGAAUUACUUAACAAAGAUGUUAAACUCUGGUAAAUGGUGUAUACUUAUGUACAUUGUACUGUCACAGUCCCAUUCGCCCACGCACACACAUUCACACACUGAUGGCGGUUUAGCCAUCCCAUAACCUUUAGGAGCAAUGUGGGGUUCCGUUUCUUGACCAAGGAUUCUUCAAAACACAGGCGCGCAGGACGGGAAUCAACACUGCGAAUUUCUGAUCACUGCCGCCCUUUUACCAUAUUCACUGGAGGUCGCAGUGAUGCCCCAGUUUUUCUCUUAUUUUAAACGCUGGUAACCUCUUGAAUCAGUCACAUCAAAGACAUCCUUAGAGUGUGCAUGUUUCUGUGUAUUUGUACACACUACUAUAAAACACUACUAUAAGCUGUUGCCUUUUGUUAAAAAAAAGAGGCACAAGUUCCUUUAAUUUUAUUUAUAUGUAUAUAUAGGUAUGUAUAUGUGUGUGUGUGUGUAUAUAACAAAAUAACGCCCCUCUCACCCUCCGCGGGUGGUUUCUCCUCCAAGCUGGGGUCCUCUACCAGAGGCCUGGGAGCUUGAGGGUCCUGCAGUAUCUUAGCUGUUCCUAGCACUGCACUUUUCUGGACUGAGAGGUCUGAGGUCUUUCCAGGUAUCGGUUGUAGCCACUCCUCCAGCUUGGGGGUUACUGCCCCGAGUGCUCCAAUUACCACAGGCACCACUGUCACCUUCACUUUCCAGGCUUUCUCCAGUUCUUCUCUGAGUCCCUGGUAUUUCUCCAGUUUCUCAUGUUCCUUCUUCCUGAUGUUCCCAUCGCUUGGCACUGCCACAUCCACCACAAUGGCUUUCCUCUGUUCUUUAUCCACCACUACAAUGUCUGGUUGGUUCGCCAUUACCAUCCUAUCAGUCUGGAUCUGGAAGUCCCACAGGAUCUUUGCCCUUUCAUUCUCUACCACCUUCGGGGGUGUUUCCCAUUUUGACCUUGGGGUUUCCAGUCCAUAUUCUGCACACAUGUUCCUGUAUAUUAUUCCAGCCACUUGAUUGUGGAGCUCCAUGUAUGCUUUACCUGCCAGCAUCUUACACCCUGCAGUUAUGUGCUGGAUUGUUUCAGGUGCCUCUUUGCACAGCCUACACCUUGGGUCUUGUCUGGUGUGGUAGAUCUGAGCCUCUAUCGAUCUGGUGCUCAGGGCUUGUUCCUGAGCUGCCAGGAUGAGUGCCUCAGUGCUGUCCUGUAGGCCAGCCCUCUCUAGCCAUUGGUAGGACUUCUUGAUAUCAGCCACUUCAGUUAUGGUCCGGUGGUACAUCCCAUGCAGGGGUUUGUCCUCCCAUGAGGGUCUGUCUUCCAGCACUGUACCCUCUGCUCUCCAUUGCCUGAGACAUUCACUGAGCACACUGUCAGUUGGGGCCUUGAGCUUGAUGUACUCAUGCAUCUUGGAUGUUUCAUCCUGGAUAGUGGCUUCUACGCUCACUAGUCCUCGGCCUCCUUCCUUGCGGCUAGCAUACAGUCUCAGGGUGCUGGAUUUGGGAUGGAACCCUCCAUGCAUGGUGAGGAGCUUUCGUGUCUUAACAUCUGUGGUCUGUACCUCUUCCUUUGGCCAUCUUAUUAUUCCUGCAGGGUAUCUGAUAACUGGCAGUGCGUAGCUGUUUAUUGCCCGGGUCUUAUUUUUGCCAUUGAGCUGGCUUCUCAGGACUUGCCUCACUCGUUGGAGGUAUUUAGCUGUUGCAGCUUUCCUUGUUGCCUGCUCGAGGUUGCCAUUUGCCUGCGAAAUUCCAAGGUACUUGUAACUGUCCUCAAUGUCUGCUAUUGUUCCUUCUGGGAGUGAGACCCCUCCUGUGUGGACUACCUUGCCUCUCUUUGUCACCAUCCGGCUGCAUUUCUCGAGCCCGAAUGACAUCCCAAUGUCAGUACUGUAGAUCCUGGUGGUGUGGAUCAGGGAGUCAAUGUCACGUUGGCUCUUAGCAUAUAGCUUGAUGUCAUCCAUGUAGAGGAGGUGACUGAUGUUGGCCCCAUUUCUGAGUCUGUAUCCAUAGCCAGUCUUGUUGAUUAUUUGGCUGAGGGGGUUCAGACCUAUGCAGAACAACAGUGGGGACAGAGCAUCACCUUGGUACAUCCCACAUUUGAUGGACACUUGUGCAAAUGGCUUCCCAUUGGCUUCAAGGGUGGUUUUCCACAGCUUCAUUGAGUUUCCUAUGAAGGCUCUUAGAGUCCUGUUUAUGUUGUACAGCUCCAAGCAUUCAGUGAUCCACGUGUGUGGCAUUGAGUCAUAGGAUUUCUUGUAAUCAAUCCAGGCUGUGCACAGGUUGGUGUGUCGUGACUUGCAGUCUUGAGCGACUGUUCUGUCAACCAGGAGUUGGUGUUUCGCUCCUCUGGAGUCUCUACCAAUGCCUUUCUGUGUGUUACUCAUGAAUUGAUCCAUGUGCCUAUUUAUCUUGGUUGCAAUGAUGCCUGACAUGAGCUUCCAUGUUGUGGAGAGACAGGUUAUUGGCCGGUAGUUGGAUGGGACUGCACCCUUUGAGGGAUCCUUCUGGAUCAGGAUCGUUCGCCCUUCUGUUAGCCAUUCGGGAUGAGUCCCAUCUCUUAGCAGCUGGUUCAUUUGUGCUGCCAGGCGCUCGUGGAGUGCUGUGAGCUUCUUUAGCCAGUAGGCAUGUAUCAUGUCAGGGCCCGGUGCUGUCCAGUUCUUCAUACCUGAGACUCUUUCUUGGAUGUCUGCCACUGUGAUGGUUACUGGAUUCUGUUCAGGGAGGUUGCUAUGUUCUUCUCUCAGAAAGACCAGCCACUGGGCAUUGCUGUUAUGUGCUGUCUCUUUCUCCCAUAUACUUUUCCAGUACUGUUCAGUUUCUAGCCUUGGUGGGUCUGCUCGGCUGUUUUGACCCUGCCACUGAGCGUACACUUUCGCAGGUUGAGUUGCGAACAGCCUGUUUAUCCGUCUGGCUUCAUUGUCUCUUGUGUACCUCUUUAGGCGGCUGCUCAAGGCUAGGAGCCUUUGUUUGGAAGUUUCCAGUGCUUCAGGUAUGGGCAUCUGGCUGUAUCUCUUAGGUACUUGCUUUCUCAUUGUACCUCUUUGAGCCUCUGUCAGCUUACUCACAUCCUUCCGAGUUGCCUUGAUUUUGGCCUCUAACCUUUGCUUCCAUGGUGGGUAUUGUUUUCUCCCAUGGUUACUCUUAUAGCCAAGCAUCUCAAGGAUCACUGCUGCUGAAGUGUAAACCAGUUCAUUGGUUUCUGUGAUGGUUGUGGUAGGAAUUGCCCUCAAUGCUUCAUUCACAGUUUCCAGUAGACUUUCAGGCGGUACAUCACUUACCGUGAUAGCUGGUGUCGAGGUUGCCAAGUGUUCAUUCUAGACACAUUCUAGACAUUUAUAUAUAUAUAUAUAUAUAUAUAUAUAUAUAUAUAUAUAUAUAUAUAAAUCUUAAUCAAUAUAUAUAUAUAAUUAUAUAUAUAUAUAUAUAUAUAUAUAUAUAAAUCUUAAUCCCCUGUAUA
rnacentral:lncRNA from 1 species